rnacentral:rRNA from 1 species
GACGAACGCUGGCGGCGUGCUUAACACAUGCAAGUCGAACGGAAAGGCCCUGCUUGCAGGGUACUCGAGUGGCGAACUGGUGUGUAACACGUGGGUGAUCUGCCCUUCACUUCUUGUUAAGCUUUGUAAACUGUGUCUAAUACCUGAUAUGUGCCAUCUUUAGUGUUGUGGUUGGAAAGUUUUUUCGGUGUAGGAUGAGCUCGCGGCCUAUCAGCUUGUUGGUGGGGUAAUGUCCUACCAAGCCGGCGACGGGUAGCCGGCCUGAGAGGGUGUACGGCCACAAUGGGAGUGAGAGACGGGCCAGAGACGUAAGGGAGGCAGAAGAGGGGAAUAGAGGACAAUGGGAGAAAGCGUGAUGCAGAGACGACGCGUGGGGGAUGAAGGCCUUCGGGUUGUAAAAACCUUUCGGUAGGGAAGAAGCUUUGUUGUGACGGUACCUAGAUAAGAAGCACCGGCUAACUACGUG